rnacentral:rRNA from 1 species
GACGAACGCUGGCGGCGUGCUUAACACAUGCAAGUCGAGCGGUAAGGCCUCUUCGGGGGUUCACGAGCGGCGAACGGGUGUGUAACACGUGGGUGACCUGUCCUCAGCUCUGGGAUAAGCCUGGGCAACUGGGUCAAAUACCGGAACUACUCUUUCUUCGCCUGGGGAUUGGUGGAAAGUUUUUUCGGCUGGGGAUGGGUCCGCGGCCAUUCGGCUGGUUCGUGGGGUUAUGGCCUAACAAGGCGACGACGGGUAGCCGGACUGACGGGGCGACCGGCCACACUGGGACUGAGGCACGGCCCAGACUCCUACGGGAGGCAGCAGGGGGGAAUAUUGCGCAAUGGGCGGAAGCCUGACGCAGCGGCGCCGGGUGGGGGAUGACGGCCUCCGGGUUGUAAACCUCUUUCGACCCCGACGAAUUUGGACGGUAGGGGUAGAAGAAGCACCGGCCAACUACGUG